AUCAUGCAUAACAUCAAGGGCUAGUGUAUAUCCACAAAUCUCAUGGUUAAACCUCGCAGCUCUGCAUUGCAAUUUAAUGGGGAGCUCUCUGCCUGCCUGUGUUCUGUGUCCUAUGAAGUUGUGCACUGCAGUCGAGGGAAUCCUUCAUUGCUUCAUGAAACUCUGUUCUCCCUGUUCCAGAGGCAGAGGAUUCAGGCGACAGUGAUGCUGAACUGGACAGUGAUGGACUCAAAUGAGAGCGGGAGUUGGGAGACAAUAUGAUGGAGAAAAGAGCGGACAUGGAUUCUGAAGUGGUCCUGACACAGUCCAUGGUAGUGAAGAAGGAUGCCCUGUCCAAAUGAUACUACAGAACUUUCUGUUAUUAUAGCAUCUGUGCUCAUGUAAGGUACAGAUGCUACUAUGCUCAUCACUAUCACUACUAUUUCUACUACCAUCAUGGGUACCACUGCCAUCGCUUCUGGCGUACCUACCGCUGCAGACGAUGCCAGCACUACUGAGAAGCAGCAGCGCCCAGGGAUCACAGUGCUGGAGUUUACCUGUCAGCAGACCUGCAAGCAAAGCUUAAACAUACCAGCAACCUGCUUUUGUAGCAUCGCUGCACCCUUUCUGUUCUGGUCCCUCUCCCCACACUCAGCUACAGCACCUGUACUCAUUUCUAUCAGGACAUUCACAGUUUGAUUCAAACAGCUGCUCCCUGCUGUGCAUUUGGUCAAUCUCUUCAAGGAUAUAUAAUAGAGACAACAUUAUUUUUCUAUUGGCUGAUACCCUACCUCUUAUGAAGCAGGACUUUACAUUGUAUGGAAAGUUGUCCUUGUUUAACAUGUAGUGUCUGAUUCUAAGUGAGAUCACAUGCUCUCACGUGUUUGAAUAGAAACACAGCUGCACAUGGGAACAUAAAGAAACCAUUCCUCAGAGAGCGUGCUUGAUUGAUCUGCCCCAGCUCAUAAUCACUCCACCCAGUCAGGUUUGACCAGUACACUCCCUUCUUCUCCCAGUUCCACCCUGUGAUGUCAAAAGUGUAGUGACAGGCGUUGUUCACACUGACAAAAACAUUGUGUUUAUAUAGAGAUUUUCUUCAUCUUUCAAUUAUUAUCAAAUCUCUUUAUUUGCAUUCAUGACAACAAAUGCUCAAACUGCUGACCAGUAUAAACAAAAACAACAACACUGUCUGCUGUUACAUGAAACUGGGAAGAAGCCUCUCUCUUUCUGCAAAGCUUUUUCAGCAAUAAAGCUAUUAGCAUCAA